UAUUUUUUUUCCAGAAUUCAUCCAGAAUUACCAUAGGCCCAUUAGAAUCAACAAUCUUUGCCAAACUUGAUUCGGACUGCAAAAUUUACGAAGAUGUUUUCAUACUGAAGAAGAGACCUUGGACAAAUACUGAAACCCUCUUGGUGCCCACUACACAGGCAGGGGUGUCCAGACCUGCUCUAGGAAAGCCAGUGUUCUGUGGGGUUCAGCUCUAACACACCUGCCUGGAACUUCAGACUAAUGAAAUUGAAGUAUCCAAAUGAAGACCCUAGCAGUAUGGAGUAUAUGGAUACAGACGUUGCCAGCAGUCAGGAGGUGAUCCAGAAGACUCAUGGGAAUCUAUUUGAAGCUGCAUCAUUGAAGACAGUCCAGCAGAAGUUGGAGUUUUAAAGGAUAAAGUUCUUCAGGACCUAUAGCAGUUUACAGUCUGUAAAACCAUGUUACUGGGACUGAUUUAUGGACUGAACUUGAGCAACCCUCCUGAACUCAGGUACACAUUUGGAAUACUGAAGAAGUUAUUUCUGGAGCCACUUCCUGUUCCUGGAAUAAGGUUUGAUUGGUUGCCCAUGAAUGCCAAUUAGAAUUGUAUUUGCUAUUUUGUGUAAUUUUGUAAUGUGGUUUAAA